rnacentral:tRNA from 1 species
GCGGUGGUUAUUCAGUGGUAGAAUGCUCACCUUCCAUGCAGGAGACUCAGGUUCGAUUCCUGGCCAAUGCA